AUUAAAGACAUUAUCAAAUAGCACCAUAGACUCAAAUAAAAACAACAAAAAACUUAUGAUAUGAAUAUAAAGAAAUUCAGAGCUGAAAUCAAAACACGGGAGCAGCAGGGUGAGUCAGGGAACAGCACAGGCUUGCUGGCUGACGCUGUGCACCAUGGGGCUCUUGCACAAACCACACAGCACCGCAAAUGGGGUCAACUGCACAGCAACAGUGAUGAGCCCACCCUGGAUUUUUCUUAUCCAGAUCUUAUAGUUACAGAUGACUGGGGGCACUUAAAGAGUUUUAACAGUACUAACUCCAAACAAUAGUCAAUAAUCAAAUUACCUUGGGUAAGAAGCCUGAGUCUGCUGAGUAGGAAGGGCUGGGUUUGCAGAUGCUGGGACCACUCCUUGGCUGAGAGAAGACAGCUGCUCCGGGGGAAGACUGUAGCUCUGGAGAUGGCUCAUCUGCGCGUUCCCUGCAACCAGCUUUUCAUCAAUGAGAGGUCCCAUCUGGUGACACAUUGCUAAGAUGACAAGAUUUGAAAAAAAUAUUGUCCAGAAUGAAACAUAUGAGAAGAACUAGAAAACUCACAUUGAAGCUGCACUGCUUGCUAUAUGAUGGAAAAAAGUAUUUAACUUACAUUACGGCCAGAUUUGAAUCUAACAAUCCAAUGAAGGAGCCCAUGAAUCUACAAAUAAGAGGCCUCUGAUAAG